AGUGAACGCUGGCGGUAGGCCUAACACAUGCAAGUCGAACGGCAGCACAGUAAGAGCUUGCUCUUACGGGUGGCGAGUGGCGGACGGGUGAGGAAUACAUCGGAAUCUACUUUUUCGUGGGGGAUAACGUAGGGAAACUUACGCUAAUACCGCAUACGACCUACGGGUGAAAGCAGGGGAUCUUCGGAACUUGCGCGAUUGAAUGAGCCGAUGUCGGAUUAGCUAGUUAGCGGGGUAAAGGCCCACCAAGGCGACGAUCCGUAGCUGGUCUGAGAGGAUGAUCAGCCACACUGGAACUGAGACACGGUCCAGACUCCUACGGGAGGCAGCAGUGGGGAAUAUUGGACAAUGGGCGCAAGCCUGGUCCAGCCAUACCGCGUGGGUGAAGAAGGCCUUCGGGUUGUAAAGCCCUUUUGUUGGGAAAGAAAAGCAGCAGGUUAAUACCCCGCUGUUCUGACGGUACCCAAAGAAUAAGCACCGGCUAACUUCGUG
rnacentral:rRNA from 1 species